GCCCAGGUGGCGAAAUUGGUAGACGCACCACUUUGAGGGGGUGGCGCCGUAACAGGUGUACGAGUUCGAAUCUCGUUCUGGGCA
rnacentral:tRNA from 3 species